rnacentral:sRNA from 1 species
UGCGUGGCCGGUGAUGGUUGGGAGUUCUGGUCCCAGGCAAGGUGGGGACUGGGCACGUCGUCAAUACGAUAGAGAACGUCACUUUUCACCAUGAAGGGUUCUUCUGGAGGUGUUGGUUUAAUGGGAUUGUGGAAGAGAAUGACUCCAAUAUUUGGAAGUUCUGGUACACCAAUCAGCCACCGUCCAAGAACUGCACACACGCUUACCUGUCUCCGUACCCCUUCAUGAGAGGCGAGCACAACUCGACCUCCUAUGACUCUGCAGUUAGCAUCCUAUUUUCAUUGGUGGUGAUGCUGUAUGUCAUCUGGGUCCAGGCAGUGGCUGACAUGGAAAGCUACCGAAACAUGAAAAUGAAGGACUGCCUGGAUUUCACCCCUUCUGUUCUGUAUGGCUGGUCAUUUUUCCUGGCCCCAGCUGGGAUAUUUUUUUCUUUGCUAGCUGGAUUACUAUUUCUAGUUGUUGGACGGCAUAUUCAGAUACAUCACUAAAUCAACUGUUGCCACAAGUAUUUUCUUGAGAAUACUUUUUUUCCAUUUUGUUUCAUUGAUCCCAGCAUAAAGUUAGUAGAUAUAACUUUUUAGUUGCUAUUCAAAUUAAUCAUUUUACUA